GGCAUCACCAGUUAAUAGGAGAGGGAUACGGAAGAGAGGGGAGCGAGUGGGAAAGCGCAGGUUAAGGGAGAGGCUAUAGACGGGCAAAUGAUGGUUAAGAGAGGGAAAUAAGAACAGAGAGAAGGAACUAGAGAGAGAGAGAGCAGAUUGAUUGUUGAAGAGAUAAGAAAUGACAUUAAACGCGUCGGCGUCGGCGUCGGCGUCGGCGACGGCGACAUUCGCAAAACCCUUGUGUCCUCCUUGUUGUAAAACCCUAGUCAAGCAAUUUCUUUUAUCUUCUUCGAGGCAUGUUUUCAUAACAAAUUCACAUUCUAUGUCCAAUUCUACAACACUUACCGCCAAACCCAACAAACUCAAAUUCAGGGUUUCUACUUGUAGAGUUUCAACUUCCAGUUUGAGCUCUGUUCAACUUCAACAACAAGAAGAAUAUGAAGAAGACGACUCCCAGUCAACUCAGCUAUUCGAGAAGUUGAAGGAUGUGGAGAGAGAACACAUAAAUAAAUUGGAAGAGCUUGGGAGAAAGGCUAAUAUUCAGUUAGAAAGGCAACUUGUUAUGACUUCAGAUUGGAGCAGGAAGUUGCUGACGAUGCAGGGAAAAUUAAGGGGAUCAGAGUGGGACCCUGAAAACUCACACAGAAUUGACUACAGUCAAUUUUUGAGACUUUUCAACUCAAAUAAUGUCCAAUUUAUGGAGUACUCAAAUAAUGGGCAGACAAUAUCAGUGAUUCUCCCAUACUACAAAGAUGAAAAAAUGGAAGGACCAGGAGAUUCAAAGAAAGAACUUAUCUUUUGGCACCAUGUGGUUGACCGUAUGCCAAUUGAUUGCUGGAAUGAUGUUUGGGGAAAGUUGCGUCAACAACUGAUUAAUGUUGUGUUCGUCUAGUUGAGUACAGUUCCUGCUGAAGUUUACUCUACCAUUGCAACUGCAAGUGGUUUGGUCUUUGCGGCUUGCUCUUUCUAUUACAGUAUAUCUCUGGAUUGAUAAUAUGAUGAGACCGAUUUAUGCAAAGUUAAUACCUAGUGAUUUGGGGACACCUCCAAAAAAGACAAGGCAGCCUGUGAAGCUUUGUGCUCUUGGAUCAUUAGGCAAGAGUCGAGAUGUGACCAAAUCUUUCCAUGCUGCAUUGCUCCAACUGCUAGGGUUCUGAAUCAGAAAUUUGUUUAAGGAAAUUCAGAAGCUGGGUACCUCUCUGCAACAUCAAGGCAUACCUUCCUGCUAUUUUUUACCACAGGGAACUGUUAUUUGGAUGGGAAAUAAGGUGGGAAACUGUUGAGGAAGUACCAUGUUGGAAUACAGUUGCUAUGAUUGUUCUGGAUCAAUUUAUCACCAAGAAUGCUACCUUGACAAAUGAGAUGGAAGUUGCUAUGAAGUUUUUUUUUUUUUUUUUUUUUUGAACGAAGUUGCUAUGAAGUUUGUAAUGUGGUUUUAUGCGCUGAUGCCAUUCAAAGAGGUGGAAAGAAGUUCAGAAACUGUUGAGGAAGUACCACGUGGGAAUACAGUUGCUAUCAAUUUUUCAACAAGAAUGCUACCUUGACAAAUGAGAAGGAAGUUGAUGCAAGUUGUUUGUGUGAAUGUCCUGUUGGGGGAAGAUCUGGAGAGGUUAUCCAUUAUAUCUUUUGGUUUGCAGAAAAUUAAAGAAAGUUAUUGAAAACUCUAGCGUUUGAAGUUCUUUGGUUUCUAAAUUCGAUAGGUUCAUAUGCUAUUAGGCUUUGGUUAAUUGCUUGGUAGAUUAUUGUAAAUUGCACUGUUUAAUGGUAAUUUGCAUUAGUGAAAUUUAUUUAUUACUGCGCUUUUAAUUACUAUGAUGAUAACACUUUUUUUCUUUGAAAAUAAUUUUUACUGUUGUAUGCGAGAAAUCUACUGAAAGUCUGAAUUAAGCUCUUGUUUCUUCUCCUAGUUUCUUCUCCAAGUAUCUACUUACUGUUGUGGAUGCACAUUCACAACAGUGGUGACUGUAGGUGAUAGACUGGCUUAUGGUGAACAUUCACUGACAACAUGGGUGAUUGGUAGUGACUGUGGGUGAUUUUGUUUGUCUCCCAAUGUUACCAUGAAUUACUAGUCACUCUAUUCGGUUAUGAUUUUUCAAAAACAGUUUUUGAGUUUUCAAUUCUUAUUUUUUAGCUCUAGUAUUUUUUUUUUCUCCUCAUACUUUAGUUAAAUUUUUUUAGUUUAAAAAAUUGAUUUAAAUAUGAAAAAUAUUCACCAAAAAUUAAUAACCAUUUGAGGCAACAUUAAGAGCAAUCGAAAUACAUUCCGGUUAGCUCGAUUGUUGGUCAACUAAAGACUAUAAUCUCUGGAGGGUAUGGAUUUUCCCUCUGUAUUGAAAGUUGUUCUUCUGAAGCAGACACAGAAUCCAAUAACCUUGCAGUGAACUUCAGCAUACAAUGAUGAAAUUUGGCACUUACUGAAAUGAAAUUUUUUUAGGGGUCUUGCUAAAGGCGUCAAUUAAGGAACGAAUAAUGAUUAAGUAAAAUAGGACUUCAAUACACAUUUCACAUAUUUCCAUGUGUUUUUAUUGUAUUUCAUUAUACUUUUUACACACACAUCAAGGUUACCAAGCGCUCAAUGGCCAGUAAUUAGUAUUUCUCUUUCUAAAAAGAAAAUAGAAAAAGUGAACAAAAAUGUUUAAAUGUUUCUAUGUAUCAUUUGAAACAUUUCCCCGUAGAGUAGAAAAUAUAUAUAGGAGGGUACUAUGAUUGGAGUCUCCUAAAAAGGAAAGACCUUCAAAUUCUCCAACAAUUGGGUACUUGAAUUUUGUUAGAAGAAAAACAGAGCUGGUAUGUCAAAUUGAAUCAUCACUCUGCUCUCAUCCCUGCCUCUUCACCCCAUUUUCUAGUUCCUCCCCUCCCCUCCCCUCCCCUCCACUAGACCCUCCACGAGGUUCUCAACCCUGAACCAAUUCUCUCACUCUCGUUUUUGAGCUGGGCAUUUUUUCAAACACCUCUCUCUCU